UAUAUCUGUGUCUGUCACUGCAUGUUGCCUGGGCUUGUGUUUUGUGUUUGUGUGUGCAUCUUGCUGUGUGCGGUGAGUGUCUCUCGUUGGGUGCCAUGGGCGCGUGUGAUGCUGUGUGUGUCUCACUAUGUGCGCCUGGAUGUGCAUCUGAUGUUGUACAUCUGUCAUUGCAGCAUGUGUUAACAUGUGUCUGUGUUGGUUGCUUAUCUGUGCUGGGUGUUGUCUGCCUCCUCUCUCUCUCUCUGUGUCCUGGCAGUCUCUCCUGGUGUGACUCUUGCUGUGUGAGUCAUUGCGGUCUGUCCAGUGUGUGUGUGUUAUUGUGGUGUGUCCGUCUGCACAUCUUUUUGCAGUGCAUGUAUUGUCAUGUCUCUCACUCAGUGUGUCAUUGCUGUGGAUCUGGCCUGAAUAUGUUUCUUCUGUGUGUGUGUGGGUGUGUGUGAUUGCAGUAUGUCCAGUUUGCCUGUGUCUCUCCUGGUAUGUCUCUGGCUCUGUGUGUUAUUGUGAUGUGUCCGUCUGUGUGGGUCUCUCCUGAUGUGUCUCUUACUGUGUCAUUGAAGUGUGUCCAGUCUGCAUGUGUCUCCUUUCUGUCUCUUGUUGUGCGUGUGUUAUGGUGUGUCCAUCUGUGUGUCUCAUUGCGGUAUGUCCACUCUGCACGUGUCUCACCUGCUGUGUGUCGUAUCUCACAAAGUGUGUCUCAAUGUGCUGUAUCUGUUUGUGUCUCUCCUGGUGCGUCUUGUACUCUGUGUGAGUGUUGUGGCAGUAUGUUGGCAUGUAUCAUUACGGUGUGUUGCUGUAUGUCAUGCAGUAUGUCGUACUGUGUGUGUGACAUGCACAUGCGGUCUGUCACGUUGUUGUGUUGUAUGUGUGUGACACGUGGUGUCGCUGUGCAUGUCAUUGCAGAGUGUGGUUGUGUUUGUCACAUGCAGUGUGAGGUGUUGCAGUGUGUCGCAGUGUGUGUGUGUGUGUGACAUGCACAUGCGGUCUGUCCCGCUGGGUGUUGUUGUGUUGUAUGUGUGUGACACGUGGUGUCGCUGUGCAUGUCAUUGCAGAGUGUGGUUGUGUUUGUCACAUGCAGUGUGAGGUGUUGCAGUGUGUCGCAUUGUGUGUGUGUGUGUGUGUGACAUGCACAUGCGGUCUGUCCCGCUGGGUGGUGGUGUGGUGUAUGUGUGUGAGACGUGGUGUCGCUGUGCGGGGUUGUGUGUGUGUGUCACAUGCAGUGUGAGGUGUUGCAGUGUGUCGCAGUGUGUGUGUGUGUGACACACGUGGUGUCGCUGUGCGGGGUUGUGUGUGUGUGUCACAUGCAGUGUGAGGUGUUGCAGUGUGUCGCAGUGUGUGUGUGUGUGUGACACGUGGUGUCGCUGUGCGGGGUUGUGUGUGUGUGUGUGUGUCACAUGCAGUGUGAGGUGUUGCAGUGUGUCGCAGUGUUGCAGUGUGUCGCAGUGUGUGUGUGUGUGUGACACGUGGUGUCGCUGUGCGGGGUUGUGUGUGUGUGUGUGUGUCACAUGCAGUGUGAGGUGUUGCAGUGUGUCGCAGUGUGUGUGUGACAUGCACAUGCGGUCUGUCUCGCUGGGUGGUGUUGUGGGGUGUGUGUGUGACACGUGGUGUCGCUGUGCGGGGUUGUGUGUGUGUGUCACAUGCAGUGUGAGGUGUUGCAGUGUGUCGCAGUGUGUGUUUGUGUGUGUGUGACAUGCACAUGCGGUCUGUCCCGCUGGGUGGUGGUGUGGUGUAUGUGUGUGAGACGUGGUGUCGCUGUGCG